GACGAACGCUGGCGGCGUGCUUAACACAUGCAAGUCGAACGGAAAGGCCCUGCUUUUGUGGGGUGCUCGAGUGGCGAACGGGUGAGUAACACGUGAGUAACCUGCCCUUGACUUUGGGAUAACUUCAGGAAACUGGGGCUAAUACCGGAUAGGAGCUCCUGCUGCAUGGUGGGGGUUGGAAAGUUUCGGCGGUUGGGGAUGGACUCGCGGCUUAUCAGCUUGUUGGUGGGGUAGUGGCUUACCAAGGCUUUGACGGGUAGCCAGCCUGAGAGGGUGACCGGCCACAUUGGGACUGAGAGACGGCCCAGACUCCUACGGGAGGCAGCAGUGGGGAAUAUUGCACAAUGGGCGGAAGCCUGAUGCAGCAACGCCGCGUGCGGGAUGACGGCCUUCGGGUUGUAAACCGCUUUCGCCUGUAACGAAGCGUGAGUGACGGUAAUGGGUAAAGAAGCACCGGCUAACUACGUG
rnacentral:rRNA from 1 species